UUAAAGGCUAUUGAAUCCAGAAUUUAGUUGACGAAAAUACUCUGGCUGCGUUCACAUCGAAUAGUUACUGAGGUUCAUUGCUUCUACAAUUUUGUUGCAUUCUCAUUUGGCAGGGGUGAAAGAUUUAAGGAAGCAGAACAUUUUAUUUGCGAAAAGUUUCGUAAGAAGACUGCAUAAAUCCAGGGGUUUUAGAGAACAGUAUCCAGACUUUUUUGCAAGAGCUUUGUUUACUGUGACUUAAUUUGAAGAAUUUUCAUUUCAAGAAUUUUGGCUCUAUGGCCAAUGCAUAGGCUAAGGCUACUGAUAUCCUUCUGCACAGACACUUUGUCCUGCAUGUCGUCCUUGUGUUGAGAAAAAUUCUCCUUACAAAAUCAUAGAUUUAUCGCUGGAAACGAAGCAGAAGAGGGGUAGCAACAGGCAACACCAAGGAAGAUUCUAUCAAAGAUUCCUGGUGUAUAUCUGCAAGCAACUAGGGUUUUAGUAUACUCACAGCCGACAAAGAAGCAACAUUUGUGAUUGUAAUGGCAUGACAGCAACAGACAUCCAUGCUCAUGCAGGUUCCCAAAUGAGAAAUUAAAAACAAUCAAAAGCUCCAAAGCAACACUUAUUUUGUUUUUUAAAUAACUAGUUAAUUAUCUUUCGCUACAAACAUUCAAUAAUAUGCUUAGUUUUUGUAAAUAUAAAUCUUAUGCACUCUCUACUUGUAUAAUAGUUUUGAAGACAAGUUCUUACAAUACCACAACACGUUAUCUUUUUCGCACUCAA